rnacentral:rRNA from 1 species
UUCGGGUCUAGUGGCGCACGGGUGCGUAACGCGUGGGAAUCUGCCCUGGGGUGCGGAAUAACUCGGAGAAAUCCGUGCUAAUACCGCAUAAUGUCUUCGGACCAAAGAUUUAUUGCCCUGGGAUGAGCCCGCGUAGGAUUAGCUAGUUGGUGGGGUAAAGGCCUACCAAGGCGACGAUCCGUAGCUGGUUUGAGAGGACGACCAGCCACACUGGGACUGAGACACGGCCCAGACUCC